UACGGAGGGUGCAAGCGUUAUCCGGAUUCACUGGGUUUAAAGGGUGCGUAGGCGGGUUUGUAAGUCAGUGGUGAAAUCUCCAGGCUUAACCUGGAAACUGCCAUUGAUACUAUAGAUCUUGAAUACCUUGGAGGUGAGCGGAAUAUGUCAUGUAGCGGUGAAAUGCUUAGAUAUGACAUAGAACACCGAUUGCGAAGGCAGCUCACUACACGGUCAUUGACGCUGAGGCACGAAAGCGUGGGGAUCAAACAGGAUUAGAUACCCUAGUAGU
rnacentral:rRNA from 1 species